GGAACUUCAUUCCAAUGCUUCACUACAAUCAUUGAUGCCAAUAUUGCAAGAGCAUCUGCCAUCCGGUUCUCAUCUCGAGGGAUAUGAUGAAACUCAACCUUUGUAAAGAAAGUUGAAAUCCUCCUCGCAUAAUCUCUAUAUGGUAUUAAACCGGGUUGAUUCGUCUCCCUUCUCGAGGGAUAUGAUGAAACUCAACCUUUGUAAAGAAAGUUGAAAUCCUCCUCGCAUAAUCUCUAUAUGGUAUUAAACCGGGUUGAUU
rnacentral:lncRNA from 1 species